GAUUUUUUUUAUUGAUUUGGGCUUUCGAGAGGAUUUUUUUUAAAUCAUUUUGUUAUAGAAAAUAAGGCCGGGGAAUUAAAUUGACACGGGCAACGCGGUCAUAACGUUAUAUUCUAAAACGAAAAACGUUCCGAUUAGUGUCAGGAUUUUAUAUAGGUCGCUUUGAAAAAAUCAUUGAUUCAAUUUAUCGUUACUUCUUGCUUCACGGACCGCGUCUUAAGAGCGUA